rnacentral:rRNA from 1 species
CCUACGGGAGGCAGCAGUGAGGAAUAUUGGUCAAUGGCCGGAAGGCUGAACCAGCCAAGCCGCGUGAAGGACGAAGGUGCCAAGCAUUGUAAACUUCUUUUAUAUGGGAAUAAAAUGUUCCACGUGUGGGAUUUUGUAUGUACCAUAUGAAUAAGGAUCGGCUAACUCCGUGCCAGCAGCCGCGGUAAUACGGAGGAUCCGAGCGUUAUCCGGAUUUAUUGGGUUUAAAGGGAGCGUAGGUGGAUUGUUAAGUCAGUUGUGAAAGUUUGCGGCUUAACCGUAAAAUUGCAGUUGAAACUGGCAGUCUUGAGUACAGUAGAGGUGGGCGGAAUGCGUGGUGUAGCGGUGAAAUGCUUAGAUAUCACGAAGAACUCCGAUUGCGAAGGCAGCUCACUGGACUGCAACUGACACUGAGGCUCGAAAGUGUGGGUAUCAAACAGGAUUAGAUACCCCAGUAGUC